GUCAUUUUUACACGAGCUUUCGCAUCGCUUAUAAUCAAACUGAAUUUUGGCAAGCUUAAGUAUGCUAGCUUUUAUAAUUCUUAUUCAAAUAGGAGAACUUGGUGUUGUGAUGACCGAAAUUAACCAAAAUAAAGUAAUAGGAAAGAGAUUGCCUGUCAAGUGGCCUGGAGUUGAGAAGAACAUUGGUUUCCAAAUGUGUCUAAGAAAAUGUGUGGCGAUGUCCUAUUGCCUGUCCAUUAACUUUAAUCGUGUUUUGUUGGAGUGUGAGCUCAAUGAGAGGAAGAAAAAUGACACAAAUGAUCUAGUGGACGACGAUAGCUAUUUUUAUGCUGAAACAGUUAGGGUAGACCAUCAGAGUAACGUUUGUGGCGAUAAGAUUUGCAACAACUACUCUACAUGUGUUACAAUGGCAGGGAAUAGGAAAGUUUACAUUGAGACAGGUAUCAUAAACUGCGAGUUGUACUGUAUAAAACACAAACCAAAAAAAAAGGGGGUAAAUGAUUUAAAUACAUUUUUUUAAUUGAUAUGUUAUUAAAAAUAUUAUAUAAAUACCAAAGGUAAUAGCGAAAAUACGCUUGUAUAUUCAAAAUAUUCAAACCUGUAAAUACCUUAUGAACAGUUUUUUUUUUUCUCUUUUAAAACUUUGAUCAUAUCGACUUUAUCUUGCUGUACAUAUAAUACGUGUACAAUUUUACUCAAUUUAAAAGAUUGUUCCGAAUCAGAGAUACAUGUACCAAACGGAAAUAUUGUUCAGCGGACAUAUUCUCCGGCGUCCAUUACUUAUGGUUGUAUCAAGGACUUCAUCGGUUAUGGUACCAUUCAAACUAUUAACUGUUCUAAUGGCGGGAAAUGGUCAGUUCUUGAUUACCAAUGUGAACAUAGUUACACCAGGCUGGUUGGUUCCAAUGUGUCCUUUGAAGGGAGAGUGGAAGUCUACUUAAAUGGAUCCUGGGGAACCGUAUGUGAUGAUUAUUUUGGAAUGUCGGAGGCAGAUGUCGUUUGUAGAAGUUUGGGAUUUCCAGGUGCAUUACAGGUAACUUAUAAAUAUGGAAGCGGCACCGGGGCUAUUUUAAUGGAUAACGUGAAUUGUUUAUCUAAUGAGACAACAAUAUUGGACUGUGGCUAUAAAACGUCACAUGACUGUAGCCAUGCCGAAGAUAUCGGAGUUAUUGCAAAUAUUGAAGGAGUUUUUCUUUCAUGAGAGGGGGUCAACGUUGCGUUGCAAUUAUUACUAAUAACAUUUUUAUCUGCAAAACAUUGAUGUUAAUGUUAUUCGCGAAAAUGCUAUAUGUAACAUUUAUAUCAAACAUUGUACUGAUUUUACAUGGAACUUGUAUUUUUCCAUUUUUGGUGAAAAUAAGUAAUGUUUAGGUGAUUUGCUAUUUAAGAUUUAAAAUCGAUAUGUGAUUCAAUACUGUAACAUGCAGCUAACUUUGUAGAUAUUAAUAUGUAAUCAAUAGUACAAAAUGUCAUUUCUCCAAUUAAAACACUGCUCAUCUCAAUUUCUGCUAUAAAUUAAGUUACAAUUUUUGACAAAUUGAUUUAAGAAUUUUGAGAAUCCAUAUUAAAUUUUCCGAGAAACUAUAAAAUAUUCAUAAGGAGAGAUGAGAUAUUGUUUUACUAUAGAAAAAUAUCGAUUCAUUGACAAACUUGCUCACAGCAUAUAGGCAUCGUUUCGACACAAAAACAAAUGCAAUAUACUGUUGCAUAUUUUCGUUUGUUUGUUUGUUUGUUUUUUGUUAAGUUUUUCUAUCACAUUAAUUAAUUAACAUGUGCGAUGGUUUUUUCAUAUUAACAUUGCAAUUGAUACAAUUAAAAAUAAACAUCAACGUUACCACAAUGAAUGACUACAACAUUGCAUUCUUCGAUAUAAUUUGAUUCAUGAAUGACCAUCUAUCUAUCAUGCAUCACCCUCUUGAUUAGAGUAGGUUUUCAUGCAUGUCUUGUUUGUAUACUAAGAAAACAAUUUUCCUCCUGUGGGGAAUUAUCAGAAUUUGAACAAAGUCAAACAUUUUGUAACCUAUGAUGUUGAUUAGAAUAAAUAAAUAUUAGCCUC
rnacentral:misc_RNA from 1 species